UACGGAGGGUGCAAGCGUUAAUCGGAAUUACUGGGCGUAAAGCGCACGCAGGUGGCUGAGUAAGUCGAUUGUGAAAGCCCUGGGCUUAACCUGGGAAUUGCAGUCGAUACUGCUCGGCUAGAGUAUGGGAGAGGGUAGUGGAAUUCCCGGUGUAGCGGUGAAAUGCGUAGAUAUCGGGAGGAACAUCAGUGGCGAAGGCGGUCUGCUGGGGUCGAACUGACGCUGAGGCGCGACAGCGUGGGGAGCAAACAGG
rnacentral:rRNA from 1 species